rnacentral:rRNA from 1 species
AAAAGAAGCGAACGCGGGGAACUGAAACAUCUAAGUACCCGUAGGAAAGGACAUCAACAGAGACUCCGGAAGUAGUGGCGAGCGAACCCGGACCAGGCCAGCGGCUUAUGUGAGACAAGCGGAACCAUCUGGAAAGUUGGGCCACAGCGGGUGACAGCCCCGUACGCGUAAUGCGAACAUAAGUCCUUGAGUAAGGCGGGACACGUGAAAUCCUGUCUGAACAUGGGGAGACCACUCUCCAAGCCUAAGUACUCGUGCAUGACCGAUAGCGAACUAGUACCGUGAGGGAAAGGUGAAAAGCACCCCGACAAGGGGAGUGAAACAGUACCUGAAACCGGUUGCCUACAAACAGAUGGAGCCCGCAAGGGUGACAUCGUACCUUUUGUAUAAUGGGUCAGCGACUUAGUGUGACGAGCAAGCUUAAACCGGUAGGUGUAGGCGCAGCGAAAGCGAGUCUGAACAGGGCGUUCAGUUCGUCGCAUUAGACCCGAAACCGAGUGAUCUAGCCAUGAGCAGGCUGAAGGUAAGGUAACACUUACUGGAGGGCCGAACCCAUAACUGUUGCAAUAGUUCGGGAUGACUUGUGGCUAGGGGUGAAAGGCCAAUCAAACUCGGAAAUAGCUGGUUCUCCGCGAAAUCUAUUUAGGUAGAGCGUCGACCGAAUACCCUCGGGGGUAAAGCACUGCAUGGGCUAGGGGUCCUCACCGGAUUACCAAACCUAAGCAAACUCUGAAUACCGAGGAGUACUAGUCGGCAGACACACGGCGGGUGCUAACGUCCGUCGUGAAAAGGGAAACAACCCUGACCAACAGCUAAGGUCCCCAAGUUAUGGCUAAGUGGGAAAGGAUGUGAGGAUCCCAAAACAACCAGGAUGUUGGCUUAGAAGCAGCCAUCAUUUAAAGAAAGCGUAACAGCUCACUGGUCUAAAUAAGGGUCUUUGCGCCGAAAAUGUAACGGGGCUAAAGCCAUACACCGAAGCUUUGGGUUGCGACAAUUCCUCGGAAUUGCGCAGCGGUAGCGGAGCGUUCUGUAAGCCUGCGAAGCGGUACCCGUGAGGGGCCGUGGAGGUAUCAGAAGUGCGAAUGCUGACAUGAGUAACGUAAGGGGAGUGAGAGACUCCCCCGCCGAAAGACCAAGGGUUCCUGCUUAAAGCUAAUCUGAGCAGGGUUAGCCGGACCCUAAGACGAGGCCGAAAGGCGUAGUCGAUGGGAAUCACGUUAAUAUUCGUGAGCCUGGAGGAAGUGACGGAUCAUCACUGUAGUUCGACCUUAUCGGAUUGGUCGGGCUGCUGCGUGGUUCCAGGAAAUAGCUCCUCCUUAUAGUCCGUACCCGAAACCGACACUGGUGGUCUGGUAGAGUAUACCAAGGCGCUUGAGAGAACUAUGCUGAAGGAACUCGGCAAAUUGCACGCGUAACUUCGGAAGAAGCGUGACCCUUUUGCACGCAAGUGUAAGAGGGUGGCACAGACCAGGGGGUAGCGACUGUUUAUCAAAAACACAGGGCUCUGCGAAGUCGCAAGACGACGUAUAGGGUCUGACGCCUGCCCGGUGCUGGAAGGUUAAGAGGAGAGGUGCAAGCUUUGAAUCGAAGCCCCAGUAAACGGCGGCCGUAACAAUAACGGUCCUAAGGUAGCGAAAUUCCUUGUCGGGUAAGUUCCGACCUGCACGAAUGGCGUAACGACUC